rnacentral:rRNA from 1 species
GUGUCAGCAGCCGCGGUAAUACGGGGGGAGCGAGCGUUGUCCGGAAUCACUGGGCGUAAAGGGUGUGUAGGCGUCCCGGUAAGUCUCUGGUGAAAGCCUUCCGCUCAACGGAAGAAUUGCCAGAGAUACUGUCGGGAUUGAGUCCGGGAGAGGGGAGCGGAAUUCCUGGUGUAGCGGUGAAAUGCGUAGAUAUCGGGAGGAACACCGGAGGCGAAGGCGGUCUUCUGGGCCACUCCUGACACUGAGGCACGAAAGCUAGGGGAGCGAACGGGAUUAGAUACCCCGGUAGUCCUAGCCGUGAACGAUGGGCACUAGAUGUUCCCACAUUUUGUGGGAGUGUCGAAGCUAACGCGUUAAGUGCCCCGCCUGGGGAGUACGGUCGCAAGGCUAAAACUUAAAUGAAUUGACGGGG